rnacentral:lncRNA from 1 species
UAUUAACAGGGCCAAGGAGUUCCAAAAGAUGUUCAGAGAGCUGUGAAAUUCCUGGAUAAAGCAAUUGAUCAGGAACAUCUAGCAGUGCAAUUUUGGAGAAUAUGAGCUGAACUCAAGUGGCCUACCCUUUUCUAUGUCAGCCAGAAAAUGUAUCCUUGUUGCGCGGCUGACACAAAAGAGCGGGUCCAUUGGUCACUGCUCUGUGCUGGUACUAAGAGCAGUAUGAGAAUGAUUACAAGAAGGUCUGUGGGAAGAAGCUGAUGCCA